rnacentral:tRNA from 1 species
UAAAAAUUAAUCACAUAAAUUAAGUUAAUGAGCUUGAAUAAGCAUAU